GAGGGUAUAGCUCAGUGGAAGAGUGCAUGCUUAGCAUGCACAAGGUCAUGGGUUCAAUCCCCAGUGCCUCCA
rnacentral:tRNA from 1 species